UAGGGAAUCUUCCGCAAUGGGCGAAAGCCUGACGGAGCAACGCCGCGUGAGUGAUGAAGGUCUUCGGAUCGUAAAACUCUGUUAUUAGGGAAGAACAUAUGUGUAAGUAACUAUGCACGUCUUGACGGUACCUAAUCAGAAAGCCACGGCUAACUACGUGCCAGCAGCCGCGGUAAUACGUAGGUGGCAAGCGUUAUCCGGAAUUAUUGGGUGUAAAGCGCGCGUAGGCGGUUUUUUAAGCCUGAGGUGAAAGCCCACGGCUCAACCGUGGAGGGUCAUUGGAAACUAGAAAGCUUGAGUGCAGAAGAGGGAGGUGGAAUUCCAGGUGUAGCGGUGAAAUGCGCAGAGAUGUGGAGGAACACCAGUGGCGAAGGCGACUUUCUGGUCUGUAACUGACGCUGAUGUGCGAAAGCGUGGGGAUCAAACAGG
rnacentral:rRNA from 1 species